GAUGAACGCUGGCGGCGUGCUUAACACAUGCAAGUCGAACGAUGAAGCCCAGCUUUCGGGGUGGUUUAGUGGCCAACGGGUGAGUAACACGUGCGUAACUUGCCCUUCUCUCUGAGUUAGACCUGUUCAACUGGCCCUAGUACCUGCCAGGUGCUCCUACCGCACGGAUGGUGUUGUAAAGAUUUAUCGUUUUUGGAUGGCCUCGCGGUCUAUCAGCUUGUUGGUGAGGUAAUGGCACACCAAGGCGAUGCCGGGUAGCCGGCCUGGGAGGGUGCACGGCCACAAUGGGACUGCGGGACGGACCAGACUCCUACGGGAGGCAGCAGGCGGGAAUAUUGCACAAUGGGCGAAAGCCUGAUGCAGCGACGUCGCGUGAGUGAUGAUGGCCUUCGGGGUGUAAACAUCUUUCAGUAGGGAAGAAGCGAAAGUGACGGUACCUGCAGAAGAAGCACCGGCUAACUACGUG
rnacentral:rRNA from 1 species